UACGAGGGGGGCAAGCGUUGUUCGGAAUUAUUGGGCGUAAAGAGCUCGUAGGCGGUUUGUCGCGUCUGCUGUGAAAACUCGGGGCUCAACUCCGAGCUUGCAGUGGGUACGGGCAGACUAGAGUGCGGUAGGGGAGACUGGAAUUCCUGGUGUAGCGGUGGAAUGCGCAGAUAUCAGGAGGAACACCGGUGGCGAAGGCGGAUCUCUGGGCCAUUACUGACGCUGAGGAGCGAAAGCCAGGGGAGCAAACGGG
rnacentral:rRNA from 1 species